rfam:Salmo salar isolate Sally breed double haploid chromosome ssa10, whole genome shotgun sequence.
CCCUGUGGCUCAGUUGGUAGAGCAUGGUGUGUGCAACACCAGGGUUGUGGGUUUGAUUCCCACAGGGG